UACGGGGGGUGCAAACGUUGCUCGGAAUUAUUGGGCGUAAAGCGCACGUAGGCGGUCCUGUAAGUCGGGUGUGAAAGCCCCAGGCUUAACCUGGGAAGUGCACUCGAAACUGUAGGGCUUGAGUAUGGAAGAGGGUCUCGGAAUUCCCGGUGUAGAGGUGAAAUUCGUAGAUAUCGGGAGGAACACCAGUGGCGAAGGCGGAGACCUGGGCCAAUACUGACGCUGAGGUGCGAAAGCGUGGGGAGCGAACAGG
rnacentral:rRNA from 1 species